rnacentral:lncRNA from 1 species
CUCAGAAAGAUGGGUAGCUCCAAUAAGCGAGGGCUUACGAAUUGCCUCAGAAAAUGUGUCAGAAUAAGCGAGGACUUACGAAUUGCCUCGAAAGAUAUACUGCGUAUACUUUUUCAAAAUUUCGACAGCAUCUCCUCUGUAAUAUGGACUAAACCAAUCCUGUAAUACAAUACAAUAUAUCCACAGCACAUAUACCAAAUAAAUUUGGGGUCCAUUUGCCCCUUUAAAUGCUCAUAAGGUGUAACAUAUCGCAUUUCUCCAAGAUAUGUGCAGAGGGUCUGUCAUGCAUUAUAAUAAAUCAUAUGCUCGCACAGCUCAAUGUAUCAGUAGUGCUAUAGUGAAGCAAGUAACAUGAUGUCGACAAUAAAAUGAAAAUGAUGAUAAC